UACGGAGGAUGCGAGCGUUAUCCGGAUUCAUUGGGUUUAAAGGGUGCGUAGGCGGACUUAUAAGUCAGUGGUGAAAACCUGCAGCUUAACUGUAGACGUGCCAUUGAUACUGUAAGUCUUGAGUGUGGUCAAGGUAGGCGGAAUGUGUAAUGUAGCGGUGAAAUGCUUAGAUAUUACACAGAACACCAAUUGCGAAGGCAGCUUACUGGGCCGUUACUGACGCUGAUGCACGAAAGCGUGGGGAG
rnacentral:rRNA from 1 species